UAGUUCAUAUCACACACAAAAGAAUUCCCCUUAAUUAAAUCUUUAGUUCUCUCCAAUGGCUUCUUCUCGCUUUCUUCUUGCCUCGCUUAUCUUGAUUGUUCUCGCUAGCCAUCUCGCUGACGCGCACAGGGUUCUAGAAGGAUCUCUAGUUGGCGAAACGUCUACUGCCGGAGGAUUAAACUGCGGGGGACUAUGCGCGAUAAGGUGUAGCAAAUCUUCGAGGCCAAACCUCUGCAAGAGAGCUUGCGGGACUUGUUGUGCAAGGUGCAAGUGCGUGCCUAAGGGCACUUAUGGCAAUGAAGAUUCAUGCCCGUGUUAUGCAACGAUGACUACUCGUGGAGGCGAGCACAAGUGCCCGUAGGAUAUUGAAGAAAUAUGUGCGAUUUAAGUUUUCUUGCGAAUGCUUUCUAUUAUGUGAAUGUGUUUGUUUGAUUGUGAAUUGAUUUAUUACAUAAGGCAGCAGGUUUGUGGGUGAAAUUCAUGUUGAAUGUAUCUAUUAGCUUUUUGAAUAAAAUUGAAACUUCUUUGUAUUUCAA